UGCAGUAGAGAGAUAACGGACAAACAAGCGAGAGCUCGUUAGCGUAGGGAAGUAACAUUUCUUGAGUUAAACAACUCUAACCUGAAAAAGUAAUGAGGUAGAUAGUAGGAGAACAAAUACCACUUUCAUUGGGGGAAAAAGACUGACAUUGCCAUAGGAAACAUGGACCAGGAGUUUGAAGAGAUAGAUUCAGAGGGCCGGUGGCAAAAACUCUACCUUGAAAUCAGGAAUCAGUCCCAUGAAUGUUCCUACAAAGUGGCAAAGUAUCCAGAGAAUCGCAUCCGAAACAGAUACAGAGACGUCAGUCCAUUCGAUCACAGUCGGGUGAAGCUAAGGAACACAGAAAAUGACUACAUCAACGCAAGUCUGGUAGUGAUGGAGGAAGCCCAGAGGAGUUACAUACUAACACAGGGCCCCCUCAGGAACACGUGCGGACACUUCUGGCUCAUGAUCUGGGAGCAGAAGACCAAGGCAGUCAUCAUGCUUAACCGAGUUAUCGAGAAAGGAUCAGAAAAGUGUGCCCAGUACUGGCCCACGGCUGAGGAGAGGGAGAUGACUUUCAGAGACACAAGGUUUUUGGUCACGCUGUUGUCAGAAGACACAAAGUCCUACUAUACCACCAGAGUGUUGGAGCUGCAGAAUCUAAGUACGGGAGAGAAAAGAGAAAUCUACCACUUUCACUAUACCACAUGGCCUGAUUUUGGAGUCCCACAGUCCCCAGCAUCUUUUCUAAACUUCCUCUUUAAAGUGCGGGAAUCUGGAGCAUUGGGGGUGGAUCAUGGUCCGGCUGUGGUGCAUUGCAGCGCUGGAAUCGGACGUUCAGGAACGUUUUCUUUGGUUGACACGUGUGUCGUUCUGAUGGACAAGAGGAAAGACCCCUCGUUAGUAGACAUCAAAAGUAUCCUAUUGGACAUGAGGAAGUACCGUAUGGGCUUGAUCCAGACUCCGGACCAGCUGCGCUUCUCCUACAUGGCUGUCCUUGAAGUUGCAAAGUACAUUAGAGGAGAUUCAUCUGUACAGAAUUGUUGGAGGGAGUUAUCCAGAGAAGAUCAAGAGCCCACACUGGAGUCUCCACCCUCAGGUCAACCCCAGGCCAGGUGUCAGAAUGAGCGAUGUAACGGCAGCCAGCAGGGGGGUCAGCUGGAGGAGGGGGGAGACUACAGACAGGAUGGCAAAGUACCACAACAGCCUCCCUGUAAAGAACAGGAGCUUGACGGCAGCACGGCACACAAACGACGCAGAGAAGACAGCAUCUCCAAAUCAGCCUCAGCCAAAACACCCCAAAGCAAGCCCAGGACGAAUGACACAGAGAAGAAGAGAAAAAGCCUGGGCUGCAUUUGCUGCACAUGACAAGAGCUGACCUGUCCAAAGGGGGCAGUGUGUCUUUACCCCCCUCUGUGACAGCAACAACAACCACGAAGAGCACAUUUAGAGGACGAAGUUUACCCACAGCUUUACAAAAGAGAAAAAAAACGGCUACUCUUGUACCAAGAGGGCAAAAACCAGUGACUGCUAACCACCCCCACCUGUGGCCAGCCACGCACCGACAGCUCUGGCAGCAGAGCAAACUUCGGCAGGGAACUCCAGCUCUCUCCCAACCUCUGUGCCCUUCUUCCUCUUGCUCCACCUCAGCAAUCAGAUGUUCUCUCUUAAAGGCUUUUUUAAAAUCCAAGCUUAGAGGCAUUUUUCAGCCAACCCACACCUCGCUUGUUUUCCUCUUAAGAGAAGCAAGUCACUCUCAAAUCUGCCUUAGUCCUCUUCACAGCUUUUCACAAAUCUCCUCAUCCUCUCUAAACUGUUUACAGCGGACAGCUCGGGAUUCUUUGAAGAGAGCACAUUUUACCGGAUAAACACACCAGCGCUUCAUCCCUCAACCACAACCUGUGCUGCUUCUGAAGUCACAGAUUCUGUUGUUUUUUUUUUCUUUUUUUAUUAUUCACAGCUUUGUCAUUCUGUUAUGCUUCUUGCAUAUAUGAAGUAAGAGUGAUAAUAGGGGCUAUGCAUUGCCAAUUUAUAAAGCUGUUCAUAUAUGUAUUUUGAGAUAACUUUUUCAGAGGCACAAAAAAAUGUUCUAUUUUUUAUAAGAGAUUACUUGAAGUUUUUCACAAAGACAGAGGAGGGUGGUUCAUGAAAAGCACUGCCUCCUCCCACAUGAGAAAUUCAGUGGCAUGUAAUGUUUCCAUGAUGUAUAUAAUAUUCUUUCUAAAAAGAUGUGUGUACAAAGACAUAUUUUUGCUUGUGAAAGAAAAAGAUGGACAAUGUAAGAUAUUUGAACACAGUAGAAAAAUUGACUUGUUAUCCUUUUGAAAUUAAUUUGUCUUAAGUUUCUUCCUCUCAGAGUGUAAUCUACAAAUAAAACUGGUAUCAUCUAGUUUACAUUAAAACCUUUCCUGGUGCCAG